GCCAGAAGCAAAUGGAGGAAAUAUGUGAUAUGUUAUGUAUAAUAUGCAAAAUAUUUUCGAAAAACAUAAACGUCUUCUAAUAAACCAUUUGAUGAAUGUUAAAGCAUUAAACUAUUUUAAAGACCAUAUUUUGUUUUUUACGCACACAUUUUCAGAGUAAAAGUUAUUGUCUUGUAUUAAUUUUGGAGUUAAGGUUUUCAAUAUUACAAACAAAUAACUAAACUCUCACAGUAUCAUUAUAGGUGGUAUGAUGAGUAAGUAAUGUCUCAUGAAAUCAAUACAACAAAUGAACUGUAAUUAAAAACUAUUUUAUUAUAUCACUUUUGUUAAAUUUAUUACACAAUAUUAUACGGACAAAAGUUGAUUUUUAAUGUCUUUUAAUCUAACGGUGAGGGUGACCAGGAGUACCUGGAUUUUCAGGUAAAUUAGGAAUUGAUGGAGGGCCAGGGUACUCGAAAUACGGAUCAUCAGGGAGAAGAGGUGGAAUAUCGGGAGCAAACGGACUUACACCUAUAUCUUGUACUGACACCGGCAUAAAAGAAUAAAUAAUAACACACGAAACGAUAAAUUUUAAUAGCAUAUUUGCAAACAAUCCGAAAAAGAUACGCGAAUAAUACGAUACUCUUAGGAGACACAAAAUUAAUUUUAUGCUUUGAUUUUAAUAUAUCUCAGUUAAAUGCUAC